rnacentral:tRNA from 1 species
GUCCUCAUGGUGUAGCGGAUGCACGUCACCCCGCCAAGGUGACAGCGCCGGUUCAAAUCCGGCUGGGGACU